AGUGAACGCUGGCGGUAGGCCUAACACAUGCAAGUCGAACGGCAGCACCGUAAGAGCUUGCUCUUACGGGUGGCGAGUGGCGGACGGGUGAGGAAUACAUCGGAAUCUACUUUUUCGUGGGGGAUAACGUAGGGAAACUUACGCUAAUACCGCAUACGACCUACGGGUGAAAGCAGGGGAUCUUCGGACCUUGCGCGAUUGAAUGAGCCGAUGUCGGAUUAGCUAGGUGGCGGGGUAAAGGCCCACCAAGGCGACGAUCCGUAGCUGGUCUGAGAGGAUGAUCAGCCACACUGGAACUGAGACACGGCACAGACUCCUACGGGAGGCAGCAGUGGGGAAUAUUGGACAAUGGGGGAAAGCCUGAUCCAGCCAUACCGCGUGGGUGAAGAAGGCCUUCGGGUUGUAAAGCCCUGUUGUUGGGAAAGAAAAGCAGCAGGUUAAUACCCCGCUGUUCUGACGGUACCCAAAGAAUAAGCACCGGCUAACUUCGUG
rnacentral:rRNA from 1 species